rnacentral:rRNA from 1 species
GUCCUAUAAUUGGAAUGAGUACAAUUUAAAUCCCUUAACGAGGAUCAAUUGGAGGGCAAGUCUGGUGCCAGCAGCCGCGGUAAUUCCAGCUCCAAUAGCGUAUAUUAAUGUUGUUGCCGUUAAAAAGCUCGUAGUCGAACUUCGGCCUUUGCCACCCGGUCCGCCUAUUUGGGUGUGUACUGGAGUGGUGGAGGCUUACCUCGUGGUGAACGGCCAUGUCCUUUACUGGGUGUGGUCGGGAACCAUGACUUUUACUGUGAAAAAAUUAGAGUGUUCAAAGCAGGCUUACGCCCGAAUACAUUAGCAUGGAAUAAUAAAAUAGGACGUGCGGUCCUAUUUUGUUGGUUUCUAGGAUCGCCGUAAUGAUUAAUAGGGAUAGUUGGGGGCAUUCGUAUUCAAUUGUCAGAGGUGAAAUUCUUGGAUUUAUUGAAGACGAACUACUGCGAAAGCAUUUGCCAAGGAUGUUUUCAUUGAUCAAGAACGAAGGUUAGGGGAUCGAAAACGAUCAGAUACCGUUGUAGUCUUAACAGUAAACGAUGCCGACUAGGGAUCGGAUGAGGUUUUUAAUGACUCAUUCGGCACCUGAAGAGAAAUCUUUAAGUCAGGUUCGGGGGGGAGUAUGGUCGCAAGGCUGAAACUUAAAGGAAUUGACGGAAGGGCACCACCAGGUGUGGAGCCUGCGGCUUAAUUUGACUCAACACGGGGAAACUCACCAGGUCCAGACACGACAAGGAUUGACAGAUUGAUAGCUCUUUCUUGAUUUCGUGGUUGGUGGUGCAUGGCCGUUCUUAGUUGGUGGAGUGAUUUGUCUGGUUAAUUCCGAUAACGAACGAGACCUUAACCUGCUAAAUAGCCCGGCCGACUUUGGUUGGUCGCUGGCUUCUUAG